rnacentral:rRNA from 1 species
CCUACGGGAGGCAGCAGUGAGGAAUAUUGGUCAAUGGGCGCGAGCCUGAACCAGCCAAGUCGCGUGAAGGAUGACUGCCCUACGGGUUGUAAACUUCUUUUAUAAAGGAAUAAAGUGAGGCACGUGUGCCUCUUUGCAUGUACUCUAUGAAUAAGGAUCGGCUAACUCCGUGCCAGCAGCCGCGGUAAUACGGAGGAUCCGAGCGUUAUCCGGAUUUAUUGGGUUUAAAGGGAGCGUAGAUGGGUUGUUAAGUCAGUUGUGAAAGUUUGCGGCUCAACCGUAAAAUUGCAAUUGAUACUGGAAGCCUUGAGUACAGUUGAGGUAGGCGGAAUUCGUGGUGUAGCGGUGAAAUGCUUAGAUAUCACGAAGAACUCCGAUUGCGAAGGCAGCCUACUAAGCUGCCACUGACAUUGAUGCUCGAAAGUGUGGGUAUCAAACAGGAUUAGAUACCCCUGUAGUC